GUGCUCAUUUAGGCAGCACAUAUACUAAAAUUGGAACAAUACAGAGAUUAGCAUGAUCCUUCACAAAGAAAGAAGAAGUCUUGCAAAAUUUC
rnacentral:snRNA from 1 species